AACGCGAAGAACCUUACCUGGGCUCGAAGCGCAGUGGAAUCCGGUGGAAACAUCGGCGCCCCUUAAAAGGCUGCUGCGGAGGUGCUGCAUGGCUGUCGUCAGCUCGUGUCGUGAGAUGUUGGGUUAAGUCCCGCAACGAGCGCAACCCUUAUUGCCAGUUGCCACCGGGUUAUGCCGAGCACUCUGGCGAAACCGCACAGGAUAACUGUGAGGAAGGUGGGGAUGACGUCAAGUCCUCAUGGCCUUUAUGUCCAGGGCUACACACGUGCUACAAUGGUCGGUACAAACCGUCGCAAACCCGCGAGGGGGAGCUAAUCGGAAAAAGCCGGCCUCAGUUCGGAUUGGAGUCUGCAACCCGACUCCAUGAAGCUGGAAUCGCUAGUAAUCGCGGAUCAGAACGCCGCGGUGAAUACGUUCCCGGCCUUGUACACACCGCAUAC
rnacentral:rRNA from 1 species